rnacentral:rRNA from 1 species
UACGUAGGAGACGAGCGUUGUCCGGAAUUACUGGGCGUAAAGAGCGCGCAGGCGGUCGUUCAAGUCGAGUGUGAAAGCCCCCGGCUCAACUGGGGAGGGUCAUUCGAUACUGAUCGACUCGAAGGCAGGAGAGGGUAGUGGAAUUCCCGGUGUAGUGGUGAAAUGCGUAGAUAUCGGGAGGAACACCAGUGGCGAAGGCGACUACCUGGCCUGUUCUUGACGCUGAGGCGCGAAAGCUAGGGGAGCAAACGGG